AUUGAACGCUGGCGGCAGGCCUAACACGUGCAAGUCGAGCGGAUGAAGGGAGCUUGCUCCUGGAUUCAGCGGCGGACGGGUGAGUAAUGCCUAGGAAUCUGCCUGGUAGUGGGGGAUAACGUCCGGAAACGGGCGCUAAUACCGCAUACGUCCUGAGGGAGAAAGUGGGGGAUCUUCGGACCUCACGCUAUCAGAUGAGCCUAGGUCGGAUUAGCUAGUUGGUGGGGUAAAGGCCUACCAAGGCGACGAUCCGUAACUGGUCUGAGAGGAUGAUCAGUCACACUGGAACUGAGACACGGUCCAGACUCCUACGGGAGGCAGCAGUGGGGAAUAUUGGACGAUGGGCGAAAGCCUGAUCCAGCCCUGCCGCGUGUGUGAAGAAGGUCUUCGGAUUGUAAAGCACUUUAAGUUGGGAGGAAGGGCAGUAAGUUAAUACCUUGCUGUUUUGACGUUACCAACAGAAUAAGCACCGGCUAACUUCGUG
rnacentral:rRNA from 1 species